UUUUCAGAUUGGAUAAUUUCUAUUGAUGUGCCUUCACAUUCACUGAAUACUCCCUCUGUCAUCUCCAAUCUGCAGUGGAGUCCAUCCAUUGAGAGCCAUCUGUGAAGUUAAUUUCAGCACUGUUUACUCUUUCCUCCUAAAUCACUAAUGAAGAUGAAACAUUCAAUGGAAUUGAGCUUUGCAGCCCUUUCUGGGAAAUUCCACCGAGGCUUGCUCUUGUUCCAGUUUUCAAGCAGCGAAAACAGUUUGUGGCAAUUUGCAAGACUCUGGCAAACCACCUGCACCUUUCAAACUAAAGAUUUUGAACUGUUUGGUCUCCUUGUAAGUUUAGAAACAAUAUCAGUUAAAAUCAAUUUGGCUGAAAAUGACAGAUACCUUGAGACAUAAUAUUAAAUUAAAGAUAAUAGAUAAAAGUUUAUUUCUCCCUCACAUAAACAUAUUUAAUCCAAAGAGGACAAGCAGUUGUAUGAUC